rnacentral:rRNA from 1 species
ACAGAGCGCUUCCAGGUGCCGAGUGGUAAAGCAAGGAGUUAUGGCGUAGCGAACUUUGUCGCACAACGCCAAACAAAAAAGCCAACACAUGCAAGGGGAAAGAACAUUAAGUGCUGAGUGCAAAACUAGUGGCGGACGGGUGAGUAACGCGUGGGCAACCUACCCAUAAGAGGGGGAUAACAGCUGGAAACGGCUGCUAAAACCGCAUAAGAUCGCAUCACCGCAUGGUGAGGCGGUUAAAUAUCGAAAGAUAGGUAUGAGAUGGGCCCGCGUCCAAUUAGCUAGUUGGUGAGGUAACGGCCCACCAAGGCGACGAUUGGUAGCCGGGCUGAGAGGCCGAUCGGCCGCAUUGGGACUGAGACACGGCCCAGACUCCUACGGGAGGCAGCAGUGGGGGAUAUUGCGCAAUGGGGGAAACCCUGACGCAGCGACGCCGCGUGAAGGAUGAAGGUUUUCGGAUCGUAAACUUCUUUGACCGGGGACGAAGAAAUGACGGUACCCGGGGAACAAGCCACGGCUAACUACGUG